UACAGAGGUCCCGAGCGUUGUUCGGAUUCACUGGGCGUAAAGGGUGCGUAGGCGGUCGGGUAAGUCUGAUGUGAAAUCUCACAGCUUAACUGUGAAACUGCAUUGGAUACUAUUCGGCUUGAGGUCUGGAGGGGGGACUGGAAUUCUUGGUGUAGCAGUGAAAUGCGUAGAUAUCAAGAGGAACACCAGUGGCGAAGGCGAGUCCCUGGACAGGUCCUGACGCUGAGGCACGAAAGCUAGGGGAGCAAACAGG
rnacentral:rRNA from 1 species